GACGACAAGGCCCUAAAAGCUUUAUUUAUUUUUAAAAUUUUUAUAUAACUCUUUAAAUUAUAAAUUUUUAACUGGGGUAGUUUUAUAUUUUGUUUAUUUAAAUUAUCUAACUUUGUCUGGAUUUAUGAACCUUUAUAUAAGGGUGUUUGUUUAAGUUACUUUAGGGAUAACAGCACUUUGAAAUUUAAAAGAUCUUAUUGAUAAUUUAAAAAGUGACCUCGAUGUUGAAUUAAUAAACCUAUUAAGAGCAAGAUUUUAAAAAGGCGGUUUGUUCAACCUUUAAUUUAUUACAUGAUCUGGUU
rnacentral:rRNA from 1 species